UACAGAGGGUGCGAGCGUUGUCCGGAAUCACUGGGCGUAAAGGGCGCGUAGGUGGCGCUCCAAGUCUGUGGUGAAAGCUCGAUGCUCAACAUCGAGUCGGCCAUAGAGACUGGAGGGCUCGAGCACUGUAGGGGCAGAUGGAAUUCCAGGUGUAGCGGUGAAAUGCGUAGAUAUCUGGAGGAAUACCGGUGGCGAAGGCGGCAUCCUGGACCGGCAUUGACGCUGAGGAGCGAAAGCUAGGGGAGCAA
rnacentral:rRNA from 1 species